CAGCCGCCGCGGUAAUACAGAGGGUGCGAGCGUUAAUCGGAUUUACUGGGCGUAAAGCGUGCGUAGGCGGAUUUUUAAGUCGGAUGUGAAAUCCCUGAGCUUAACUUAGGAAUUGCAUUCGAUACUGGGAAGCUAGAGUAUGGGAGAGGAUGGUAGAAUUCCAGGUGUAGCGGUGAAAUGCGUAGAGAUCUGGAGGAAUACCGAUGGCGAAGGCAGCCAUCUGGCCUAAUACUGACGCUGAGGUACGAAAGCAUGGGGAGCAAACAGGAUUAGAUACCCCCGUAGUCCCUGUCUCUUAUAC
rnacentral:rRNA from 1 species